ACAACACCGGUUCUCGUAACGAAGUUAAGCAACAUCGAGCCUGGUCAGUACCUAGAUGGGUGACCGCUUGGGAAUACUGGGUGCUGUAAG